rnacentral:lncRNA from 1 species
UAAAAACAUAUGAAACAAUAGGAGAUAUAUCAAGUACUCCAUAAAUAUCUCUUCAAUGAAGGAAAAGUUAGUAAACCUCUUUUUAAAAGUAUUGUGAAGAUUAACUGUGAUAGAUUUGGAAACACUUUAUAAAUUCUUUUAAACUGCUAAUUGAUAUCACUUUUAGGCUAAUUGUGAUCCAGGUUAUGUUUACUACUCUUAGAGGUUAUGAAAAUAGGAAUAGUAUUUGAUCUUGAAAAAUAUAUGUAUUUCUAAAAAAUUCUUAUUUACUGUAUCCCCUCCUAGAUAUCUUCCACAGGUUUUAACAUAUCAGUUUGAAUAAGGCACAGAAUUAAAACAAUGUACUCCUUCAUGGUGGUUGGGGGUGCAAAGGUGUUUCCUUCAGAGAACAUUGGAAAGGGAACUGUGGUGAGUGUGAAGUCCUUCUGUACUUUGACUGAUGGAAGUAAAGAAAGAGAGGGGAAAAGGUGCUUGGUGGUUGGAUGUGAACGUCAGCUCUUCUGAAAGAUCCACCUGUCCAUUAUCCUUCCUUCUUCCAUUUCCAUUUAUGUAAAAAGCAAUGGAGGAAAUUCAAUUUCCUUCACAAUCAGCGACAAAGUAAGAGUUUGCACAGCAUCAGUGUAAAGACAAUCUAGGAAAAAUAAUGAUGGAACUAUCUUUUUUAAAAAGUAAUGGCAAUAGACUUUUCACUAGAAAGGUGUGCCAUAUAGAAGAUAUAAUUCUUGCCAAAUAAAUAUUUUGCCGGGAACA